CGGGUGAGUAACACGUGGAUAACCUACCUAUAAGACUGGGAUAACUACGGGAAACCGGAGCUAAUACCGGAUAAUAUAUUGAACCGCAUGGUUCAAUAGUGAAAGACGGUUUUGCUGUCACUUAUAGAUGGAUCCGCGCCGCAUUAGCUAGUUGGUAAGGUAACGGCUUACCAAGGCAACGAUGCGUAGCCUACCUGAGAGGGUGAUCGGCCACACUGGAACUGAGACACGGUCCAG
rnacentral:rRNA from 1 species